GACGAACGCUGGCGGCGUGCUUAACACAUGCAAGUCGAACGAUGAACCCGGAGCUUGCUCCGGUGGAUUAGUGGCGAACGGGUGAGUAACACGUGAGUAACCUGCCCUUGACUCUGGGAUAACUGCGGGAAACUGUAGCUAAUACCGGAUACGACCCUCGGCGGCAUCGCCAGGGGGUGGAAAGAAUUUCGGUCAAGGAUGGCCGCGCGGCCUACCAGCUAGUUGGCGAGGUAACGGCUCACCAAGGCGACGACGGCGAGCCGGCCUGAGCGGGUGACAGGCCAGUCUGGGACGGGACCACGGCCCUGUCGCCUACGGGCGGCAGCGGUGGGGAAUUUUGCCCAAUGGGCGCAAGCGUGAUGCAGCAACGCCGCGUGAGGGAUGACGGCCUUCGGGUUGUAAACCUCUUUUAGUAGGGAAGAAGCGAAAGUGACGGUACCUGCAGAAAAAGCACCGGCUAACUACGUGCCAGCCGCCGCCGUAA
rnacentral:rRNA from 1 species